rnacentral:rRNA from 1 species
GUAGGUGGCAAGCGUUGUCCGGAAUUAUUGGGCGUAAAGCGCGCGCAGGUGGUUCUUUAAGUCUGAUGUGAAAGCCCCCGGGCUCAACCGGGGAGGGUCAUUGGAAACUGGGGAACUUGAGUGCAGGAGAGGAACGUGGAAUUCCACGUGUAGCGGUGAAAUGCGUAGAUAUGUGGAGGAACACCAGUGGCGAAGGCGACUUUCUGGCCUGUAACUGACACUGAGGCGCGAAAGCGUGGGGAGCAAACAGGAUUAGAUACCCUGGUAGUCCACGCCGUAAACGAUGAGUGCUAAGUGUUGGGGGGUUUCCGCCCCUCAGUGCUGCAGCUAACGCAUUAAGCACUCCGCCUGGGGAGUACGGUCGCAAAGACUG